UAAUUUCCUAUGCUGAGAUGUUACUUUUAUGUGACAUAUUGCCUCUUUUUUCCCUAUGUUAUUGGGAACUUGCAGGCUAGGUUCUUUUCCAAAAAGUAUUUAUUUUUACAUUGUUUUAUGUGGUAGCAUUUACCUUUUGCCAAAAUUUUACCAAAAGUAUAGCAUGUAAUGUCUUCACUUAUAAAGCAAUGUUCUCGGAUGGUUCAUCAAUAGAUUGAUCCGUUUAAAUUGUUUAUCAAAAUGAUUAUGGAUUUUGGUGGAUUGGCAGUUGCAUCUUUCCUCUUGUAGCAAUCUCUUCAUCCGAGCAUGUCGUCUAAGAAUGACAAAUACAUAGAAGCUGGUGAGUUAACAUAGAAGAAGGUGAUUGGGCUUCUUGGAGGAGAGGUGAUCUAUUAUGCAGUCUUUGUUUUCUUGAGUUCUGAAGUAGUCUUCUCUGAUUGCAUCUUCAGGAUGAGCGAAUUUUGAGGAUUUAUAGGCAUCUUGUAGUUUUGAUUUAAGUUUGUCUUCAGUUGAUUAUCUUCAGGAGCAGUGAGAUAAUUAUUAUCGAGUUCUAAUUCCUCUACUGGAAGCUUUUCCAUGUUGAGAAGUGGUGUGAUCUAUUGCCUUCUUCUGUAGGGUGAGUUGAUGAUUGUUUGAAAUUGGAUAAACAGCCAUUUUGUGGAUUCUAAGGACUGGUAUAUAUGAUGAGUGUCCUUGAUCAUCUGGAGGACCAGUUGAAGAGCUGAAAUUUUGAUAAACUCCUGCUGCGUAGGCACUUUGUUGAAUGUCAUUCCUCAGUUGAUUCCCUUGGAGUGGAAAGAUGACAAUUCAGCUUUUUCUGUAUGGCUAAGUUGAUGAAUUGCGGAGUCCGCGCUUUGUUUGAAAUUGGAUAAGCUCCCCUUCUUGGAUUUGGUUCCUUUGAUGUCUUCACUCUAUAUGUGUACAUGGAUGAAUCCUUAAUCAAUUAAUAUUUUGGCCAUGCUAUGAUAGGGUGUGCGAGAACAAGCUCGACUUAUGCUUUGAGGGUUUGAAGUUUGACAAAAGAUCGUGGAUUGUCAUUGGAUGGCCUCUCUGUUGGACAUAGAUGCAAAAGGAGAGUACUAAGUUUGCUUAGUUGCAAUAAGAUAUCUGUAUGGAUUUUUGCUUAGCCGAUAUUCUCCACUUCUAUAAUACUUUCUUCUGGCACUGUCAUUGCUGGGGACAGUUUACAAGUGAGGGUUUUUGUAUGUGAGAUGGGCUGUUUUUAGUGUGUAGGGUGCCACCUAGGGGGCCUAAAUUGUGAAUAUUUUAGGUUCUCAUCGAUCCAUGGGACAAUGAAGGCUUUUCUGCAAGGGCCCAAGUGAUACUCCAUUGCAAACUGCCUCACAUGGGGAUGUUGACCGGACAGGCAUAUGGACAUAACUUCCUUGGCAUUGCUUGCGCUCAGACUGGUUCUCUCCUUUCUGCUGAUUCUCUCAUUUCUUAUUCUUCACAAAGCUCUGUCGUUUCAUGUAUGCUGUCAGCAGACAUGGCUGGUCAAGCUGGGAGGAGCAGACACUUGGUGCUUGGUUGCCAUGUUUGUCAAAUUUUUGUAGUUAUUUUUAAAUCGGUGAAACUGAAGGGGCAGACAACAAUCCUGCAGUGAAUAAGCUUUGGUUUGAGGUUUUAACAUGUCUAGCGAGCAUGGACCCCUUCUGAUCUCUUAUGAUACCCUAAUGUACGAUGGAUGAACUUCUGCUUCGUAUAUAUGAUCUAAAUUUAAUAAAGCAAACCUGUUUAGGGCUAUGAACUUA